UAGGGAAUCUUCGGCAAUGGACGAAAGUCUGACCGAGCAACGCCGCGUGAGUGAAGAAGGUUUUCGGAUCGUAAAACUCUGUUGUUAGAGAAGAACAAGGACGUUAGUAACUGAAUGUCCCCUGACGGUAUCUAACCAGAAAGCCCCGGCUAACUACGUGCCAGCAGCCGCGGUAAUACGUAGGUGGCAAGCGUUGUCCGGAUUUAUUGGGCGUAAAGCGAGCGCAGGCGGUUUCUUAAGUCUGAUGUGAAAGCCCCCGGCUCAACCGGGGAGGGGCAUUGGAAACUGGGAGACUUGAGUGCAGAAGAGGAGAGUGGAAUUCCAUGUGUAGCGGUGAAAUGCGUAGAUAUAUGGAGGAACACCAGUGGCGAAGGCGGCUCUCUGGUCUGUAACUGACGCUGAGGCUCGAAAGCGUGGGGAGCAAACAGG
rnacentral:rRNA from 1 species